rnacentral:ncRNA from 1 species
CCUAAAUGACCGCUCAGUGAUGAAGGAAGUACGAGUGCAAAGACAGCCAGGAGGUUUGCCUAGAAGCAGCCAACCUUGAAAGAGUGCAUAAUAGCUCAUUGAUCGAGCACUCUUGUGCCGAAGAUGAAUGGGACUAAGUGAUUUGCCGAAGCUGUGGGAUGUAAAAAUACAUCGGUAGGGGAGUGUUCCGCCUCAUAGGGAAGCAUCGGCGCGAGCAGGUGUGGAUGAAGCGGAAGCAAGAAUGUCGGCUCGAGUAACGCAAACAUUGGUGAGAAUCCAAUGCCCCGAAUCCACAUGCAUUUCGCCCUAUGCAUUGCACCAUGUCAAGGUU